UCGGUCCAGUGAAUUCCUUCUCCACCCCUGGGCCCUUCCUUGAUCCUGAGGGAACCCGCUUCCAGCCUGCAGUGUGCCGGGCUGGGUGAGAGUCUGGGAAGCCUGGCAAAACUGUGGCAGCCAGCAGAUUUUCAUCUCUGUGCUGACUGAGCGACGGAGAGGGCCGAAUGUGUAAUUUAUGCUGGGGAGGACUGCUAUGCUCGGUCUCUGCCGUGCGAGGAAGCAGGCUGAGAAGUAUGGAACUUGCCGUGGGCGCAAGUGCAGUCACACCAGGCUGACACCAGUGCUGAGGGGGCCAGGGGUCCAAAGCCUGAGCCACAGCUACCAGGCUCUGUCCCCUCACCACAUGUGAACUAGAGCAGGCGAAGGCAGCCAGCUGGGAGCCACGCACCCUGAUUUUCUUGCAUUCAGCUCGAGGCCCCCACCCCCUUCAGUGCAGCAGUGGCCUGCAGAGCCGGACACGGCGCCCACCCACCGUGUUGAUCUUCCUGGGCAGCGGCACAGGCGUCUCAGGCAGAGUGGGCGUGAGGUCGUUGGAGUCUUCUGACACCUGCUUCUGGAUGGCGUCUCUGGACUGCAUGUUUGGGGACAGAUCCACUGGGUGUGACUUCUGCAUGGCCCUCGGAGGGCUGCAGAGCCUUGGGUGAGAUGUCCGGCAGCCUGGGAUUUUGCCAGCAGGUCUCCCAGCUGCGGUUUGGGGGCAGGUCCUUCAUUUGUGGCUUGGGGGGUAAGUCUGAGAGCUGGGGCUUGGGUGGCAGGUCUCCAGGUGGGGGCUUCUGUGGUAACUCUGUCAGCUGCGAUGAUUUCUGGAAAAUCUCAGAUGGGACGUUGGCUUUGUCUAGGGAGAGAUGAUGGCUUGUUUCUGUUUUCCUUAGUGCCACUGCAGGGACAAUCACAGAGAGGAAGUCACUGGAACAGCGUGUGAGGGGAGGCAGGCUUGCUCCUGUCACAGUCACCUGAGAGCCCCCAACCGCCACCCGGUGCACACUUGGAGCGGCUUCCGCUCAGGGCAGCCCCAGCCUGGGAUGGCCUGUUUCUAACAAGGUCAGAGCUGGAGCCAGGAGGCACCUACACUACUGUUCAUGGCUUUGCGCCUUAGUUAGGUAAGAACACAAUGGCCAUAUCAACCCAGGAUUUUUUUAAAAAGCAAACAUAAUACAGUUUGUGGAAAAUUGGAAGGUACAGUUAAACACUUUUCCAUAAGCCUACCCUCCAUCUAAGUGUAGCCAUUUGUCACGUUGAUAUAUUUCCCCUCUUGACUUUGCCAUGCAAUUUCAAUGCAUCUAACUAUGUGCUACUUUAGCAGAAUACUUGCCAUGUCAUUAAACUUUUUACUAGUACAAAUGUCAUUCUGAAGGGACAUUCUCCUCUAUGGCUGCAUCAUGUUCAAUUCCCUUGAUUCUACAUGACUCAUGCAGGAGGUGGCACAAGAAGCAGGAAGGCCCAUCCUCCCAGGUAAAGCGCUACCUUCUGGUGAUAUGCAUAUGUGGGCUUAUGCAUGUAGCAUCUAAAACAGAAUGUGCAUUAUAACACAUAUGCUGCAGUAACACACACGUCUGAAAAUUUGUUUCCACUUAAUAUGCUCAGGGAGAGUCUCCAAGCUCCUCAUUCUCCUUACCUGCUGCACGCUAUGCUACGCUCAGGCAGGGCCACAAAUUACGGACCCGCCCUGGCUGCUCCUGGCACAGCUCUGUGGAGAACACUCACUGUCAGCAUGUCUCUAACGUGAGCCCAACCAUUCACCAGCCAGUGUGACCCUGGGCAAAGUGUACAAUCUCCCUGUGCCAACUCCACCUCACAGCACAGCCCUGGAGAUUACACGGGUGACGUACGUGAGGAAUUUACUGACAGGAACUGGCAGGCUGUAAGCAUUUCUUUAGAGUAAUGCCAUCCACUCCUGUUAAACAGGGCUCCCGAGGCCAAGAUUCCUCGCUUCCCUAACUCUGGCUCCUGGCACAGGGGCCGAGGCACAGCAAAUGUUCCGCGAGGAAACGGCUGACGAAGGCACACUGUGUGACUCAAACUAAGGAUUUUAUCCUAAAAAUACAAC
rnacentral:lncRNA from 1 species